rnacentral:lncRNA from 1 species
CUUGUGAUCAUACAGGGAAGAAAAUAAUCUCAUGUCCCUGCAUAUAGAAUUUUCUUCAUUUCUUGCCAUCAGCCAAACUGAGGCACACAGGGGUGGCCCAGGAAAAAGAAUGAAGUGCAGAUCUCAGGUAAAGGUAAAGCAGCUUAAGGCUUUGAAAAUUCCUGACAGGGCAACUGUGAAGACAUUAAAAGACUCUUUAAAUGAGGAUGAUAGCGCUGCUGUUUUCCUUGAAGAAGCCUUUUAGAGAAAGUUCUCCUUAAAAACAAAUAAAUUAAAAAAUAAAAUACUUCUGAAUGCCCA